GGGGCGGCGCAGAACCUGUAACAAUGUCGUCCAUACCUUCCUGCCGCCGAGGCGUUGCAAUUCGUAGUCUGAAGGCGCCAUGAUUGUGAUUACAACACAGCUUUCUGAAGAGCACAUUAUUUCCACGAUGCCUUAGUGCGAAAUUUGCAAGAUGGGUUAUCACGACAAACAUAUUCAAUUUUCUAGCUCUUUGCUUCAGCCAAGAGUCUGAAUUUCCUACACCAGUAGACAGGACGUGGCAAAGAAAGGUUACAGGAGUGGUUUCGUCAGUGCUGCCGAUGCGAAAUUUUUCUGCAAUCGAUACACACUGUUGAAAGCGACAUACAACUGCAGUAACUCUUUGGCAGAAUAGUGACCAGUGUAAAAUCAGAUAUAAUGGAAAACUUAUAGACUUACUAUAGACUUUAGCAGUUCACCAGUAUUACGUUGUUUCCAUCUUUCUAGCUACUUAGUUACUGCAUUAUCUCCUGCAAUUAAAAACAGAAUAUUUGACAUUAUCUGUCUAUGUAAUUGCAGCCUAAAUGAAGCUUCGAAGUAGCUUAAUGUAAAAAUAUCAAAGUUACUUAUAACCUGCAUUCGUUUAUUCUCUUAUUA